rnacentral:snoRNA from 1 species
AGGCAAAAAGUCACCAACAAGAAUGAAAUAGUGUCUGCUUCAAAGAACUUACAUUUGUGUGCAAUGGUUGCGGAUAGUAUUUCCCUGGUUGUGUGUGUACCUUGUCCUUAAUACCAGGUAUUCUAAGGGACCUCGGAGACACUU